CCACUCUCUCCUCUUCCUCAACUCUCUCUCUCACUUCCUCCCGACCUCCCACCUCUACCUCUCUCUUCUUCAUGUAAUACCCAGAGUUUCAAAUUAGUGUAUUUCGAGAAAUAUUAGAACAAAUGCGUAAAAGUUUAACUUUUAAACCGUUGCUUGAAUAGGUGAUCAGGAACCGUGGAUGUGUAGAGGUCGCCGAGUAGUGCAAAAUAAGUUUAUAGUAAUCGGAGUCCGAACAAAGUCCCGGGGAUUGAAUUAAUGUGAGCCGUUCGAUAUUUAGUAGCCUCUCUAUUUAACCAAUAGAAAAAAAAGAAAAUUAAAAAAAAGGGCAACGCUAGCAGCUAACCCUAGCCGCCGCCUCGUGUGCCCUUGUUGCCGCUGCCGUCGUUGCGCCGUCGCAGCAGAUUCACCCAUCGCCGUCCAACGCCACUCCUGCUCGGCUCCUUCUUGGAACAGAGAGAAGUUUCAGGAAGCAGGGAAAGCAGGAGGAGAAAAGAAGGGAAAAAAAAGGGAAGAGAGGCAAAAGUCGGGGAUUUUUUGGGUUUUCACAAAUUGACCUCAAAUUUGAUUUUUCUCCUCUGCAAGGGUACGCAGUGAGACUGACAUGCAUGGGCGGGAAGUAGCACUCUUAUCUACACAUUUAUCUGCACACUAUCAAACUAUAUUGCCUAGGUCCAUAAUGAUACUUAAACUAUAUCAUGGUUCGGUCUUGUAAUAAUCUUUUAGUUUCUUUCCAUGGGUUAUAUGGAUGGAUCACUCUGUGGGAAUAAUAUUAUUAUUAGUUCAAUUUAUAACUGUUUGUCGUGGAUGUCCACAUUUA